rnacentral:rRNA from 1 species
GAAUUCGCCCUUAGAGUUUGAUCCUGGCUCAGGACGAACGCUGGCGGCGCGCCUAACACAUGCAAGUCGAACGAGCGAGAGAGAGCUUGCUUUCUCAAGCGAGUGGCGAACGGGUGAGUAACGCGUGAGGAACCUGCCUCAAAGAGGGGGACAACAGUUGGAAACGACUGCUAAUACCGCAUAAGCCCACAGCUCGGCAUCGAGCAGAGGGAAAAGGAGCAAUCCGCUUUGAGAUGGCCUCGCGUCCGAUUAGCUAGUUGGUGAGGUAAUGGCCCACCAAGGCAACGAUCGGUAGCCGGACUGAGAGGUUGAACGGCCACAUUGGGACUGAGACACGGCUCAGACUCCUACGGGAGGCAGCAGUGGGGAAUAUUGCACAAUGGGGGAAACCCUGAUGCAGCGACGCCGCGUGGAGGAAGAAGGUCUUCGGAUUGUAAACUCCUGUUGUUGAGGAAGAUAAUGACGGUACUCAACAAGGAAGUGACGGCUAACUACGUGCCAGCAGCCGCGGUAAAACGUAGGUCACAAGCGUUGUCCGGAAUUACUGGGUGUAAAGGGAGCGCAGGCGGGAAGACAAGUUGGAAGUGAAAUCUAUGGGCUCAACCCAUAAACUGCUUUCAAAACUGUUUUUCUUGAGUAGUGCAGAGGUAGGCGGAAUUCCCGGUGUAGCGGUGGAAUGCGUAGAUAUCGGGAGGAACACCAGUGGCGAAGGCGGCCUACUGGGCACCAACUGACGCUGAGGCUCGAAAGUGUGGGUAGCAAACAGGAUUAGAUACCCUGGUAGUCCACACCGUAAACGAUGAUUACUAGGUGUUGGAGGAUUGACCCCUUCAAUGCCGCAGUUAACACAAUAAGUAAUCCACCUGGGGAGUACGACCGCAAGGUUGAAACUCAAAGGAAUUGACGGGGGCCCGCACAAGCAGUGGAGUAUGUGGUUUAAUUCGACGCAACGCGAAGAACCUUACCAAGUCUUGACAUCCUGCGACGAUGCUGGAAACAGUAUUUUCCUUCGGGACGCAGAGACAGGUGGUGCAUGGUUGUCGUCAGCUCGUGUCGUGAGAUGUUGGGUUAAGUCCCGCAACGAGCGCAACCCUUACUGUCAGUUACUACGCAAGAGGACUCUGGCAGGACUGCCGUUGACAAAACGGAGGAAGGUGGGGAUGACGUCAAAUCAUCAUGCCCUUUAUGACUUGGGCUACACACGUACUACAAUGGCGUUAAACAAAGAGAAGCAAGACCGCGAGGUGGAGCAAAACUCAGAAACAACGUCCCAGUUCGGACUGCAGGCUGCAACUCGCCUGCACGAAGUCGGAAUUGCUAGUAAUCGUGGAUCAGCAUGCCACGGUGAAUACGUUCCCGGGCCUUGCACUCACCGCCCGUCA